GGCUACCGCUAUUGGAGUUCGAUUAAGCCAUGCGAGUCGAGAGUCUUAGGGACUCGGCGUACCGCUCAGUAACACGUGGGUAACCUGCCCUAUGCUGGGGAAUAACCUCGGGAAACUGAGAAUAAUGCCCCAUAGUCCACAAUGCCUGGAACGGUUUGUGGAUCAAAGCUCCGGCGGCAUAGGAUGGGCCUGCGGCGUAUCAGGUUGUAGGGGGUGUAACGUACCCUCUAGCCAUCAACGCGUACGGGUGUUGGGAGACAUAGCCCGGAGAUGGAUUCUGAGACACGAAUCCAGACCCUACGGGGUGCAGCAGGCGCGAAAACUUGGCAAUGCGAGAAAUCGUGACCAGGGAACUCCAAGUGGCUGGGGUAAGACCCAGUCUUUUCUUGACUCUUCAAAGGUCUUGGAAUAAGGGGUGGGUAAGGACGGUGCCAGCCGCCGCGGUAAUACCGGCGCCUCAAGUGGUAGUCGAUUUUAUUGGGCCUAAAACGUCCGUAGCCUGUUUGGUACAUUCGUGGGUAAAUCAACCAGCUCAACUGGUUGAAUUCUGCGAGCACGGCCAGACUUGGGACCGGGAGAGGUGUGGGGUACGCUCAGGGUAGGGGUAAAAUCUUGUCAUCCUGAGCGGACCACCUGUUGCGAAGGCGCCACACUAGAACGGAUCCGACGGUCAGGGACGAAGCCUAGGGGCACGAACCGGAUUAGAUACCCGGGUAGUCCUAGGUGUAAACGCUGUGGACUUGAUGUUGGGGGCGCUCCGAGCGCUCUCAGUGUCGAAGCGAAGGUGAUAAGUCCACUGCCUGGGGAGUACGGUCGCAAGGCUGAAACUUAAAGGAAUUGGCGGGGGAGCACUGCAACCUGAGGAUUGUGCGGUUU
rnacentral:rRNA from 1 species